rnacentral:rRNA from 1 species
UACGUAGGGUGCGAGCGUUGUCCGGAAUUAUUGGGCGUAAAGGGCUCGUAGGCGGUUUGUCACGUCGGGAGUGAAAACUCGGGGCUUAACCCCGAGCCUGCUUCCGAUACGGGCAGACUAGAGGUAUGCAGGGGAGAACGGAAUUCCUGGUGUAGCGGUGAAAUGCGCAGAUAUCAGGAGGAACACCCGUGGCGAAGGCGGCUCUCUGGGACGGUACUGACGCUGAGACGCGAAAGCGUGGGGAGCGAACAGG